rnacentral:misc_RNA from 1 species
UUCCUUUAUGAAAAUUAUUAUUUCUUCCUUGGAUAAAAUCCUUUAUUUUUUAUCUUGCCCUUCUCUGAUUCACUUCCAGCAAAUUUGUGGAACAAUAUUGCCUCUGCAUGUUGCCAAAUUGCAUAGCCGAUUCUGCUUUUCAUGUAAUUACGUGUGAUUUUUGAAAAGUAAUAAGCAGAAAUUUCUAUUUAACAUUUAAAAUAAUUUUGACCGGCAACAUUGCGUAUCACUCACUAUUCCGGAAGAGAUCGAAAAUCUUUUGAAUGCAGAACGUCUUGUCUCUGUUAUGGGCACUUUAAAUUCAUUAAAUAUCAUUUUUGCCUAAUUUUGUUUGCGAUCUCUUUUUACCACUGAUCUUUUCUUUUUGCUAGAUCCAUAUCUAUCCUUAUCGUUUCCAUCCUUAUCAUUUCUAACCGCACUUUGUGUUUACUUUGGUCCUGUCAAUGUUUUAACAGUUAGAAACUUUCACUAGAAUUUUAAAUAGCUGCUGGCUGAAUCAGGCUGAAUAAUAUAUGUAACAUUCAUUAACGUUAAGGAAACAAGUUCUAUACUGGAAUGUGUUACACCUAAUGCCAUGACAGAGAUAUUUAAUUAGACUUCCAUAUAAUGCUAGUGUUUUUUAGUAGUGGGGUCAUCAGUCUUUUCGUUGCAUAUUUGCGCGAUUCUUAGCAUUCCACACGCAUUACUCAUAUUAUCUAGUUUAUUUAAAUUAUAUUUGAAUUUAUUCAAGUGUUUUCUGUGUCACAACUAAAUAUACCUACAUAAAUUCAAUGGCACCGUAGAACAGUGGAAACAUUAGCUUACAAUGCCGGAUAGUGUUGAAUCAAACUUGAUUAAAGUCCUCAAUGGAUUACCGUUGGUUGGUGAAGAAGCAGAGAUAUGUGAUUUUUCUUUGGAAGAACAAAAUGAAGCUUUGGAGUCCCAAGGAAUUCAACCCAAUGUUGACCCACACUAUAAGCCAAUUGUAGGCGAAACAGUAACCUACAUUGUAGCCUGCGUGAUUUUCAAUCAACAUAAUGAUGUUUUAAUGAUACAGGAAGCAAAAGAAUCAUGUGCUGGAAAAUGGUAUUUGCCAGCUGGUAGAAUGGAGAAAGGGGAAACGAUUGUGGAAGCUUGUAAAAGGGAGGUACUGGAAGAAACUGGAUUAGAAAUUGACUGCACUACAAUUUUAAUGGUGGAAAGCGCUGGUGGCGUCUGGCUAAGAUUUGUGCUGACUGGUAAAGUGAUUGGAGGCACCCUCAAAACACCAGCACAAGCUAACAGAGAAUCACUCCAAGCUAAAUGGGUAUCGAAUUUAGACGAACUCUCAUUACGUGCCUCUGAUAUAAUUGAGUUGAUUGAAAAGGCUAGAUCGUAUGUGCAUGCACGUAAAACCAGGGACCCUACUUGGCAUCUAGAUCAACUUCCGUCUUUAAGAGCGUAUGCCCACCUUCUUCUACGUUUAGUUAUUGUAAUUAAAAAAAAGGCAACGAACCGAGUUCACAUUUUGCUGAGCGAACGCACCUCGUGGCAUCUACCAACAUGCCAAAUUAAUCCUGGAAAAAGUUUCCAUUCGACUUUACGAAAGUUCAUGGUCGAUUUGUUUGGGGCCGAAGUGCCUACUCACAAACCGCAUGGACUGCUCUCGAUCGAACAUGAUCCAAGAGAUGGUAAAGAUGGUGCGUGCUUAACACUGUUAGUUUCAUUUCGAGCACCAUUAGAAGAGGUGCCAAUAAUAGGAAAAUGUGUUUGGCAUGAAGUUUCAAAAGAGUUGGGUGAUAAACUAUUGCAAAGAGUUGUAUCACGAAAUGCCACAUUCCAAUUUCACGUUGUUAAAUAAUUUGGAGUUAGACACCCGAAUUAAAUUUUCCAAAAACAUUUGUUGAUAUUUAACAUAAUUUUUAUUUGUUAUGCGUGACUGACACUGUACCCAAUCAACUUUAUGCUCAAUCGAAGGAACUUGCCGUUGAUAUAUAUCUAUAGCGUGGUUAUAACACAGCCACGUGUAAUCUGUUAUUUGAUUAUACUACAUAUAUAUUUUAUUUAUUCUCA